rnacentral:tRNA from 1 species
UCCAGGUUAGCUCAGUUGGUAAAGCGCUCCACUGGAAAUGGAGAGGGCCCUCGUUCAAUACCAGGACAAGGCA